AUCCAGACUCCUACGGGAGGCAGCAGUGAGGAAUAUUAGUCAAUGGCCGGAAGGCUGAACCAGCCAAGCCGCGUGAGGGAGGAAGGCGCAGAGCGUCGCAGACCUCUUUUGCCGGGGGACAAAAGGCCGGACUCGUCCGGUCCUGAGGGUACCCGGAGAAAAAGCAUCGGCUAACUCCGUGCCAGCAGCCGCGGUAAUACGGAGGAUGCGAGCGUUAUCCGGAUUUAUUGGGUUUAAAGGGUGCGCAGGCGGAGGUGCAAGUCAGCGGUCAAAUUGCGGGGCUCAACCCCGUACUGCCGUUGAAACUGCAUCCCUUGAGUGCGCGAGAAGUAUGCGGAAUGCGUGGUGUAGCGGUGAAAUGCUUAGAUAUCACGAAGAACUCCGAUUGCGAAGGCAGCUCACUGGACUGCAACUGACACUGAGGCUCGAAAGUGUGGGUAUCAAACAGGAUUAGAUCCCCUUGUA
rnacentral:rRNA from 1 species